rnacentral:rRNA from 1 species
GACGAACGCUGGCGGCGUGCUUAACACAUGCAAGUCGAACGGAAAGGCCCUGCUUUUGUGGGGUGCUCGAGUGGCGAACGGGUGAGUAACACGUGAGUAACCUGCCCUUGACUUUGGGAUAACUUCAGGAAACUGGGGCUAAUACCGGAUAGGAGCUCCUGCUGCAUGGGGGGGGUUGGAAAGUUUCGGCGGUGGGGGAUGGACUCGCGGCUUAUCAGCUUGUUGGUGGGGUAGUGGCUUACCAAGGCUUUGACGGGUAGCCGGCCUGAGAGGGUGACCGGCCACAUUGGGACUGAGAUACGGCCCAGACUCCUACGGGAGGCAGCAGUGGGGAAUAUUGCACAAUGGGCGGAAGCCUGAUGCAGCAACGCCGCGUGCGGGAUGACGGCCUUCGGGUUGUAAACCGCUUUCGCCUGUGACGAAGCGGGAGUGACGGUAAUGGGUAAAGAAGCACCGGCUAACUACGUG